CAUCUACGUCCCCGUUAGCUAACGCGACGAUCCAGCUAACUAGCGUCAGGUGUUAGCGUACGGGCCAGGAAGAAAAUUGAGCGCAGGCGAAGUGACCACACCAGUACAGUGGCUGAAUGAUGAUGAUUAGGUUGGGCCUUUUCAUUCGAAUAUCGUAGCAGCCACUACAGCCCCUUCCUGCCGCCUUACUGUCGCCCUAACCAUUGUCAUGGAGACCAUAUAUUUAGGUCCCAAGUACAGGCAGGAGGCAGGCACAAUCAAGAAGAUCGCAAAGAAGAAGAAAUGUAAAGAGAAAUGACAAGGAGCAAAUCAGUGAGGCAAGGAGCAACAGCAGCAGGGGAGAAUUCCCGUGUUGUUGGAGGUGAUGGCACAGAGCAGCCGAGGCAACCCACCAAUCCUGAGAGAGACAAAGACUGAUCCUACUGGCUGCCUUACAGAACAUCAGUCAAACCGAGCUUUGUUAGCGCUGCAUUCCUCCAUGCUGUCCUCCUGUUUUCACUCCUUAAUAAAAAAAAAAAAGUUAAUUAAUUUUAUAUCUCAGAACCCCCUCACGUUUGCUUCAUGAAGUGAAAUGCUUCUCCUCCCGUCUCCCUAUUUAUUGUAAGGGGAACAUAUUAAUGAAGGGGAAUCACUAUUAAAA